rnacentral:rRNA from 1 species
GAUUUCUGGCAAGGUGUGAUUGGCCCGCCACGGUUACGUGUGUGAGUGCCGGUUUGCGCCUGCCAUCCUUCUAGAUAACGAUUCUACUCUUCAUUGAGCCGGAAUCGCCGUCUAGAUCUUUUACUUUGAAAAAAUUAGAGUGUUUAAAGCAGGCUUUUGCUAUGAAUACAUUAGCAUGGAAUAAUAAGUUAGGACUUCGGUUCUAUUUUGUUGGUUUUGCGUACUGAAGUAAUGAUUGAUAGGGAUAGUUGGGGGUGCUAGUAUUCAGUGGCCAGAGGUGAAAUUCUCGGAUUCACUGAAGACUAACUUAUGCGAAAGCAUU